GAAUUCGCAGUGUUCCGGAGCUCGGGAGGCGGGAGCCGAGAGCGCCUAGGGCAGGCGCGGGCUGGCUGCAAGAACCGCAACAGCUCCGGCGACGCGGCUGGGGCGCAAGAGGUAUGCAGAUAGAAGCACUGAAUCCUGGGUGGAGAGGCAACCAUUAGCACGGGACAAGGCCAACAAAGCCUUUCUGCAUGAAGGUCCUUGAGAGAAUACAGGCUCACUUCCCCCUUAAAGAGGACAUUCCUAUCAUCUCCGACCUGCCACCUCG